rnacentral:rRNA from 1 species
CAGUCGCCACGGGAAUACGAAGGGGGCUAGCGUUGCUCGGAAUGACUGGGCGUAAAGGGCGCGUAGGCGGUUUUGACAGUCAGAUGUGAAAUCCCCGGGCUUAACCUGGGAACUGCAUUUGUGACUGGCGGGCUAGAGUAUGGCAGAGGGGGGUAGAAUUCCACGUGUAGCAGUGAAAUGCGUAGAGAUCGGAAGGAACAUCUGUGGCGAAGGCGACUAUCUGGGCCAACACUGACACUGAGGCACGAAAGCGUGGGGAGCAAACAGGAUUAGAUACCCCUGUAGUCCCUGUCUCUUAUAC